rnacentral:rRNA from 1 species
UACGUAGGUGGCAAGCGUUGUCCGGAAUUAUUGGGCGUAAAGCGCGCGCAGGCGGUUCCUUAAGUCUGAUGUGAAAGCUCACGGCUCAACCGUGGAGGGUCAUUGGAAACUGGGGAACUUGAGUGCAGAAGAGGAAAGUGGAAUUCCAAGUGUAGCGGUGAAAUGCGUAGAGAUUUGGAGGAACACCAGUGGCGAAGGCGACCUUCUGGUCUGUAACUGACACUGAGGCGCGAAAGCGUGGGGAGCAAACAGG